AAACACAACACUCCCAAUCCUCACACUGCUUCGCAACUAUUCAACGCUUCAAACUUCAAAUCACUGCCAUGGGAGAACAACUGCCGCCACUCAAAGCAGAGAUGUUUGACGACAGCGAAAGUCAUCGCCACGACGACGUUUUCAGCGACAGCAAGGACUCCGGACUGACUGAAGAGCCAACGGCGGUUCACAUCAAAGAAGAGCUGGAUGACGGCGCCGUUAACGGUUUCAUGGAUAAGAUGCCGAAACCGAUGGAAGGCUUGCAUGAGAUGGGUCCCCCUCCGUUCCUCAAGAAGACCUUCGAUAUGGUGGAGGACCCUAAGACUGACCCCAUUGUGUCAUGGAGUCAAACUCGCGAUAGUUUCGUCGUUUGGGACUCCCAUGAAUUCUCCAAAACCCUUCUUCCCAAAUACUUCAAGCACAGCAAUUUCUCCAGCUUCAUUCGCCAGCUCAACACCUAUGGCUUCAGGAAGGUUGAUUCAGACCGCUGGGAGUUUGCGAAUGAAGGAUUCCAAGGAGGGAAGAGGCAUUUGCUGAAGAACAUAAGGAGGAGGGGUAAGUACAACAGACUGCAUCAGGGAGCUUUCAAUAUGAUGAAGCCAGGCGUGGAGGCUGAAGUGGAGAAACUGAAGAAGGACCAUAACAUUUUGAAGGUGGAAAUUCUGAAACUGAGACAGCAGCAGGAGAAUUCGAAUGUUCAGCUCACUAAUGCUCAUGAGAGAGUUCGGCAUGCAGAGAUGAAGCAGUAUCAGAUGAUGUUUUUCCUCACAAGAAUGGCUAGAAGGCCCGCGUUUGUUGAGCAGUUAAUCCAAAAGGUUAGGAGGAAAAGAGAGCUUGAUGGUAACGACAUGGUUAAGAGGCCUAGAUUAAUGGGAAACCCCUGCUAUGUACCCUUCCCAAAGACCAUGGAGACAACCCCUGAUGUUGAUUAUAGACCCCAAAAUCAUAAACAAUUCCCUUCUAUGCAAACCGAGCUCGGUGGAUUUCUGUCUGAAACUGUGAACACCAGCAAGAUGGAGCACCCAACUCCCACUCCCUUGGAAGAUGAAUUGUGUAACCCUGUGCAAGGGUCAAGGGCCAAUGGUUGUUCUAGCGCAAAUGCGCCAGAUGCUUCUUCUGCCUAUCAUGUUAUGUCAGAAAAACUAAUGCGGGAAAAUUCUGUAGUUGAUGAAGAACUAGAUGUGAAUGACUCUAAUAUCUAUCUUGAAUUAGAGGAUUUGAUCACUAAGCCGUCGGAUUGGUCUCUUGGAUCUGCAAAUGGAUUGGUGGAACAAACUAGUUGAAGUGAUCUCACUAGUGUUGCUGUCCCUUGUAGUGGGUGCAAUUUCAGGUUGCAGUCAGGUUGCAGGAGUGUGUGUGCGACGCUCUGCUGCUAGUAAGAUGAAGAGCUGAAUAUUAUAUGGCUCUUCAAUUACCAGCUUUGAAAGUGCAGGACCUAGUUGCUCGCCCCAGCUUUUUAUAUGACGAAGCGAGAGUUUUCAUAUUUCAGUUUGUUUGUGUCAAAAUUGUUCAUAUGUUGUACAUCCCUUUCCUCCCUUGGCGUUCCUUUCCUUAACUUAGGGUCUUAAGUCAUAUCAGCAUGGUCCUUGGUGUAGUAAUUAACUAUGUAGGUUGUAAAUUUGUAUUACAGAACAUGGUUUAUAGUUCAAUACUUUGGGGUGUAUAAUUACGUUACUGUUCCGUUUCAGCCUUUGUCUAAUGUAGCCUGUCCUUUCCUUUGUCUCCUAGAAUUUGUAGUCAUCAGCUUCCUGAAUCACUUUCAGGUUUAGGCUUUCAUGAUAAUUUUGGAGACGUCUCUGUCUUCAGAGCUGUUA